rnacentral:rRNA from 1 species
CUACGAUAGGUAGCGACCUGAGAGGGUGACCGGCCACAUUGGGACUGAGAUACGGCCCAGACUCCUACGGGAGGCAGCAGCUGAGAAUCUUCCACAAUGGACGAAAGUCUGAUGGAGCGACAUCGCGUGAGGGAUGAAGGCCUUCGGGUUGUAAACCUCGGAAAUUAUCGAAGAAUGAGUGACAGUAGAUAAUGUAAGCCUCGGCUAACUACGUGCC